rnacentral:rRNA from 1 species
UACGAAGGGGGGCUAGCGUUGCUCGGAAUUACUGGGCGUAAAGGGCGCGUAGGCGGACAUUUAAGUUAGAGGUGAAAGCCCAGGGCUCAACCCUGGAAUAGCCUUUAAUACUGGAUGUCUUGAGUUCGGGAGAGGUGAGUGGAACUCCGAGUGUAGAGGUGAAAUUCGUAGAUAUUCGGAAGAACACCAGUGGCGAAGGCGACUCACUGGCCCGAUACUGACGCUGAGGCGCGAAAGCGUGGGGAGCAAACAGG